UACGAAGGGGGCUAGCGUUGCUCGGAAUCACUGGGCGUAAAGGGCGCGUAGGCGGCUGAUUUAGUCGAGGGUGAAAGCCCGUGGCUCAACCACGGAAUGGCCUUCGAUACUGGUUGGCUUGAGACCGGAAGAGGACAGCGGAACUGCGAGUGUAGAGGUGAAAUUCGUAGAUAUUCGCAAGAACACCAGUGGCGAAGGCGGCUCACUGGCUCGGUACUGACGCUGAGGUGCGAAAGCGUGGGGAGCAAACAGG
rnacentral:rRNA from 1 species